rnacentral:lncRNA from 1 species
AUUCACACUACUGCGUUUUGCUGUGUAUAGUGUUGUUUAGCACUGUGUAAUUGUUUCCCAAUGGCGCCAAAGAGGAAAGUUCCUGCCGAAAAUCCCGCUUCUAAGGCAAAACGUCCUACCUCAAGCAAUCGGGAGUCGCGUAAGGAAGAUUCUGAUCCUAAAACCAUGUCUCAAUUAUUUAAUGCUUUCAAGUGUUUUAUGAAUGAUUUUGAACAACGUAUUGCUAACCGUUUGCCAACGUCCUCCCCUUCUCCUAGUUUUAUUCCUGACACGGCGCCUGAUGCCCCAUCCCUCGAUGGUGAGCUGCCUGGCACAUCUGCGUCAUUAUUUAACGAAUCCCAAUUCGCAAGCGCAGGUACGCGGGCCAUGUUGUCAGCUAAUCAACCUCCACAGACUCGUGCUAGGUCCCGAAUGUCCCGCGCCUUGUCAGCAGCAACACAUGCUACAGGUCGAUUGGCUUCUGUUCCACCCGAUAACAUGUCUAUGUCUCAGUCUUCUUCUAGUCUUCUUCAGAGCUCUCAGCCAGGGGUUCAACUUCCUGAGUCCGAGAUCUCUGAUGGUGAGGAGGUGCAGCUUCAGGCAUCAGCCGAGCAACAACCCACCACAACAGAUAAGCCGGCAGGGAAGAGACGCUCCAAGAAGAAACACGUUUACGAGAAGUCUAGAUCGCGGGAUACGGAUGAGGAGUCAGAUGAACUGCUUCCACUUAGCAUCUUCGGCCCAGCAGCUGCCGGAACCUUUCUCAGACCACCUCUGGAGCAUUGGAAAUGUGAAGUUAUCAAGGGAGUAUUAGCCUCACUGGAACCUUCUACUCUCAGGUCGUAUAAGAAAGCCUGGUGCGAUUUCCUGGAUUUCAGAUCCAAGGUUUCAGCUCUUGCCCCCAAUAUCCUGCCCACUACUGAUCACGUGUUACACUACCUAGCGCACCUGCAUAAUUUGGGAUGUGCAGCAGAAACCUUAAGAAUCCAUUCGGCUGCCAUCAGCUUUUUUAGCAAAGUUAUAUUCUCAGCUGACCCUUGCGCUGAUUUUAUCGUUCGUAGAGCAAUUAAGGGCUGGGGCAGACUCCAACUUGCAAAUGGCGAGAGCAGAAAGCUGGUAACAUUUGAUCUCCUCUGCCUGAUACGCCAGAAACUAAGGUCAAUAUGUUGGUCAAAAUAUGAAGCACGUUUGUUUUCCGCGGCAUUCUCCAUUGCCGCCUUCGGAGCCCUGAGUGUUGAUGAGGUUCUGUUUGAGGCCCAACCCGAUGGCUCCUCUCGCGGCCUCCACUUAAAUGACAUACAAUUAUCCAACUCCGAGUUAAUAAUAUACAUUCAGCGGUCAAAAACUGACCAACAGGGAAAGGGUGUCCCAAUCAGACUUUCUGCUUCUGAAAACCAGGGUCCAUGCCCAGUAAAAGACACUAGGAGGUACUUAUAUCUUAGACCCCCUGGCUGUGGCCCUUUACUCAUACACGAGAAUGGUUCCUGUUUGAAGAGGCAUCAGUUCAUGCAAGUAUUGCGCAAAGCGAUUGAUGCCUGUGGUUUCCCUGCAGAGGAAUAUGCUGCCGACUCUUUCAGGAUUGGGGCCGCCACAAUGGCUGCCCCUUUAGGCCACUCAACAGAUAGAAUCAGGAAUGCAUUGAAAUGGUACAUAUGAAAGAAUUUUUAGAACGCAACCACUUACCUGUCCUUGUUUUCUUACCCUCAGCUUCUUCUAACAUUCAAGUUUGGAUCUGCGGUCACAGUAUCGUCCACUGGGCCAGAGAUUGCAGCUUGGGCGACAACCUGGGACUGCCUGCAAGUGUGAGAGUUUCCUGGAUUUCAAGACGUGGCAUGCAAUGGGAGGAGUUGAUGCCAGUUACAAAGGCAAAAGCAGCAGCGUUUGGCCCACCUGACAUCCUGAUCAUUCAGCUGGGGAGAAAGACUUGGCCUUCAGGAAGAGCUUGGACUUGUUAUUGAACGUAAAAAAGGACUUAGACGAACUUGCUGCUCUGUUUCCGGAGUCUACCUUGUUUUGGUCCUCCCUUCUGAAGAGGAGAGUUUGGUGUGGCAGUCGUUGCCAUCGACAAAUCCGGGAAACUCUUGAAUCGUGUGGUGGCCCGCAAAUUGUGUUUUAUUAACAGCCAUGGGAUCAAGCAUGUUGACAUCAGAUUCAGCGAGGUGGCCCUGUUUAGAGACGAUGGCGUUCAUUUGUCUGAUCAAGGAAAUGAUGUGUGGUUGGCCAAUAUCAGUAGCAUUAGGGAUUGGUUGCAGCUGUGAGGGUAUUUGGCGGCGAGCCUCUUUGGCUCAGGUGGUGGUUAGGCAUUGGAAUAUGUGUCCUGUGGGGUCAUAUAUAGGUUGUUUGAUCCAAUGCCUAAGCCAAUACCACUCACAUGCUGUAACCAAUAAAGUUGUGGCCUCCUUUAGCCCAUUAACCUAAAAUACAUGUGUCCUUGUGUCUUAUUUACCCGUUGUAGGUCCUCGACUCACAAAGCCUCCCCUCCCAGAGGGGAGGUGUUGUGAGCGGGAGCUGUUCCCACAUCAGCAGCUUGUGAGGCUGGUGCUGGGGGGAAGUGCUGCUUCCCCCCCCCCCCAGCCUCAUAGAUCCCUGAAGCCUUUGGAGCACAGCAGGACCUCGCGCUGUGCUCCAAAGGCUUCGGGUUCCUUUUGCUGAAACCAGGAGAGUCUUGCUCUCCAGGCUUCCAAGGUAGCCACCUGAAGCCUCCAGAGCGCAGCAGGAACUCCCGCUGCACUCCCGAGGCUUUGGGUGAACGCACCUUGUUUUAGAGGGGGAGAACAAGAAAAAAAAAUUUUUUCCCUGUUCUCCCCCUCCUAUGGUCUGGUGCAUCCUAUAGAGCGAAAAAUACGGUAUGUUGUUUGAUCCAAUGCCUAAGCCAAUACCACUCUCAUGCUGUAUGUACCCAAUAAAGUAUUUGCCUUCUUUAGCCCAUUAACCUAAAAUACAUGUGUCCUUGUGUUUUAGUUACCCUACGCGGGUUGCGGGUCAUUGACUCACAACAACCAAACAUUUUCCACCUAAAUUAGGCUGGACUGAAGAAAGCUAACCAGGAGUGGCACAUCAAUCUCUGACUUUUGUCUUCAGGGUUUGUGGGGGUUUUCCUGUUGUUAUUCUGUGUCUCACAGCUACAAUAAACC